rnacentral:tRNA from 1 species
GAGCCAAGUGGCAUAGUGGUUAAGUGCAUGCACUGCCACUCACACGGUCAGGAGUUCGAGCCCCCUGUGGGUCA